GCGGAAGUAGUUCAGUGGUAGAAUACAACCUUGCCAAGGUUGGGGUCGCAGGUUCGAAUCCCGUCUUCCGCUCCA
rnacentral:tRNA from 1 species